GGAGGAAAAGAAACCAACAGGGAUUGCCUCAGUAACGGCGAGUGAAGCGGCAAGAGCUCAAAUUUGAAAGCUGGCUCCUUCGGGGCCCGCAUUGUAAUUUGCAGAGGAUGCUUCGGGAGCGGCCCCCAUCUAAGUGCCCUGGAACGGGCCGUCAUAGAGGGUGAGAAUCCCGUCUGGGAUGGGGUGCCCGCGCCCGUGUGAAGCUCCUUCGACGAGUCGAGUUGUUUGGGAAUGCAGCUCUAAAUGGGUGGUAAAUUUCAUCUAAAGCUAAAUACUGGCCGGAGACCGAUAGCGCACAAGUAGAGUGAUCGAAAGAUGAAAAGCACUUUGAAAAGAGAGUUAAACAGCACGUGAAAUUGUUGAAAGGGAAGCGCUUGCGACCAGACUCGCCCGCGGGGUUCAGCCGGCAUUCGUGCCGGUGUACUUCCCCACGGGCGGGCCAGCGUCGGUUUGGGCGGCCGGUCAAAGGCCCUCGGAAUGUAACGCCCCCCGGGGCGUCUUAUAGCCGAGGGUGCCAUGCGGCCAGCCCGGACCGAGGAACGCGCUUCGGCUCGGACGCUGGCAUAAUGGUCGUAAGCGACCCGUC
rnacentral:rRNA from 1 species